AUGCUCUCUUCAGCAGCACACAUAUACUAAAAUUGGAACAAUACAGAAAAGAUUAGCAUGGCCCCUGUGCAAGGAUGACAUGCAAAUUCAUGAAGCGUUCCAUAUUUGG